rnacentral:rRNA from 1 species
UCCCAGACUCCUACGGGAGGCAGCAGUCGGGAAUAUUGCGCAAUGGAGGAAACUCUGACGCAGUGACGCCGCGUAUAGGAAGAAGGUUUUCGGAUUGUAAACUAUUGUCCACAGGGAAGAUAAAAGACUGUACCUGUGAAGAAAGCUCCGGCUAACUACGUGCCAGCAGCCGCGGUAAUACGUAGGGGGCAAGCGUUAUCCGGAUUUACUGGGUGUAAAGGGAGCGUAGACGGCUAAGCAAGUCUGAAGUGAAAGCCCGGGGCUUAACCCCGGGACUGCUUUGGAAACUGUUAAGCUAGAGUGCUGGAGAGGUAAGUGGAAUUCCUAGUGUAGCGGUGAAAUGCGUAGAUAUUAGGAGGAACACCAGUGGCGAAGGCGGCUUACUGGACAGUAACUGACGUUGAGGCUCGAAAGCGUGGGGAGCAAACAGGAUUAGAUACCCCAGUACA